CAGCCGCCGCGGUAAUACCGGCGGCCCGAGUGGCGGCCACUUUUAUUGGGCCUAAAGCGUCCGUAGCCGGGCUGGUAAGUCCUCCGGGAAAUCUGGUCGCUUAACGAUCAGACUGCCGGAGGAUACUGCCAGCCUAGGGACCGGGAGAGGCCGGGGGUAUUCCCGGAGUAGGGGUGAAAUCCUGUAAUCCCGGGAGGACCACCUGUGGCGAAGGCGCCCGGCUGGAACGGGUCCGACGGUGAGGGACGAAGGCCAGGGGAGCGAACCGGAUUAGAUACCCGGGUAGUCCUGGCUGUAAACGAUGCGGACUAGGUGUCACCGAAGCUACGAGCUUCGGUGGUGCCGGAGGGAAGCCGUUAAGUCCGCCGCCUGGGGAGUACGGCCGCAAGGCUGAAACUUAAAGGAAUUGGCGGG
rnacentral:rRNA from 1 species